UCAACGUGGAUGCCUAGGGAUAUACAAGUGGCACAGAGGAGGAGCACAGGGCACUGGCCCAUGUGGACAAUCCCUUUCCACAGCACUGGAGAAGCCAGACCUGAAGCCCGCACUUACACAUUCCAAGAACCUCCCAGAGUCCUGUGGACAGGGACUGAGGAGACAAACCACAUGCAUCC
rnacentral:snoRNA from 1 species